AUUUCUAAAAAUAAAAUAAUGUAGCAUUGUAAUUAUUUAAAAAUUGUUAGUUUAUUUUUGUUAGUGAGCUAGGUCGAGGAUUUUUUGUUUGCACAACCAAUUGCUAUUAUUAAUUUAAAAGUCCAAUGAGUGGAGAUAGAUACAACCAGAGGUACGGCAAAACGAUAAACGAAAAAAACUACAACAUUCUGGCGCAUUUUCUAUCUCGAGUCAGACUUGUAUGCCGUCACCCAUUUCUCUGUACAACCGGAAAUCUAUUUCCCAGUCCAGGCAGGCAAGGCCUCUCCACAUCUCACUUCAACGUCAUCUAAAUUCAUCAUCUCCUGACUUUGUCAACUGCUAUUUCUUAGACCGUCGACGAUUCUGUGUGUAGUCCUACCCCGACAGCCUCUUCACAC
rnacentral:lncRNA from 1 species